CACGUAGGGCGCAAGCGUUGUCCGGAUUUACUGGGCGUAAAGAGCGCGCAGGCGGUCGUUCAAGUCGCGUGUGAAAGCCCCCGGCUCAACUGGGGAGGGUCACGCGAUACUGAUCGACUCGAAGGCAGGAGAGGGUAGUGGAAUUCCCGGUGUAGUGGUGAAAUGCGUAGAUAUUCGGAAGAACACCAGUGGCGAAGGCGACUGACUGGACAUGUAUUGACGCUGAGGUGCGAAAGCGUGGGGAGCAAACAGG
rnacentral:rRNA from 1 species